AUAUCCAUCCCCCAUCCCCCCUCCACCCCGGCCUUCGUUUAUCCCGCUAGCCUGCAGGUAUUACACGUACACGAACGUGGAGCAGUGUUUAACUGUUUAUAAAUCAAAGUGAAGAUCACAUCGCGACCUGUCAUCCUCUGCCAACCAGCCUGUCGGAAGCCACAACCUCGACUAGCAGCAGAAAUCUAAGCCAAUCACGAGGGUUCCCUAUAUUACGUCAUAACCGUUAGUUUCCAUCCUGCUCAUGACAUCCUGGCAUCAUCACUGUUGUCAUUGAUAGGAGAUUGACAAAGAGCGUCUCUUCCUCAUUAGGUUCUUUGUCACUUAAAUGGUAAAGAACCUAUUAAGGGAGGACUUAAUAUUGGUAAGUACGAUAUUAGUAUUUAUAGUUAAGGCAGUAAGCAUGUACAGUAGGGUCGGU